AUUAUAGCCGCAAGGCAAAUGUGAAGGUGCUGCAUGGUUGUCGUCAGCUCGUGCCGUGAGGUGUCGGCUUAAGUGCCAUAACGAGCGCAACCCUUAUCUUCAGUUACUAACAGGUCAUGCUGAGGACUCUGGAGAGACUGCCGUCGUAAGAUGUGAGGAAGGUGGGGAUGACGUCAAAUCAGCACGGCCCUUACGUCCGGGGCUACACACGUGUUACAAUGGGGGGUACAGAAGGCAGCUACCGGGCGACCGGAUGCCAAUCCCAAAAACCUCUCUCAGUUCGGAUCGAAGUCUGCAACCCGACUUCGUGAAGCUGGAUUCGCUAGUAAUCGCGCAUCAGCCAUGGCGCGGUGAAUACGUUCCCGGGCCUUGUACACACCGCCCGUCAAGCCAUGAAAGCCGGGGGUACCUGAAGUACGUAACCGCAAGGAGCGUCCUAGGGUAAAACUGGUAAUUGGGGCUAAGUCGUAACAAGGUAGCCGUACCGGAAGGUGCGGUUGGAUCACCUC
rnacentral:rRNA from 1 species